rfam:Paenibacillus sp. HGF7 contig00173, whole genome shotgun sequence.
UCAAUCCUUCGGGGCGGGGUGAAAGUCCCUACCGGCGGUGUUGCCGCAGUACCGGUUAUCCGGUCUGCUGCUCAGUCCGUGACCCGGCUUGUCUGUUUUUUACGCGUUCGAACGCAGGACAUUCCGGCUGACUUGGUGAGAGUCCGAGACCGACAGUUAAAGUCUGGAUGGGAGAAGGAGAAC